AGUUUGAUCCUGGCUCAGGACGAACGCUGGCGGCGUGCCUAAUACAUGCAAGUCGAGCGGACAGAUGGGAGCUUGCUCCCUGAUGUUAGCGGCGGACGGGUGAGUAACACGUGGGUAACCUGCCUGUAAGACUGGGAUAACUCCGGGAAACCGGGGCUAAUACCGGAUGGUUGUUUGAACCGCAUGGUUCAAACAUAAAAGGUGGCUUCGGCUACCACUUACAGAUGGACCCGCGGCGCAUUAGCUAGUUGGUGAGGUAACGGCUCACCAAGGCRACGAUGCGUAGCCGACCUGAGAGGGUGAUCGGCCACACUGGGACUGAGACACGGCCCAGACUCCUACGGGAGGCAGCAGUAGGGAAUCUUCCGCAAUGGACGAAAGUCUGACGGAGCAACGCCGCGUGAGUGAUGAAGGUUUUCGGAUCGUAAAGCUCUGUUGUUAGGGAAGAACAAGUACCGUUCGAAUAGGGCGGUACCUUGACGGUACCUAACCAGAAAGCCACGGCUAACUACGUGCCAGCAGCCGCGGUAAUACGUAGGUGGCAAGCGUUGUCCGGAAUUAUUGGGCGUAAAGGGCUCGCAGGCGGUUUCUUAAGUCUGAUGUGAAAGCCCCCGGCUCAACCGGGGAGGGUCAUUGGAAACUGGGGAACUUGAGUGCAGAAGAGGAGAGUGGAAUUCCACGUGUAGCGGUGAAAUGCGUAGAGAUGUGGAGGAACACCAGUGGCGAAGGCGACUCUCUGGUCUGUAACUGACGCUGAGGAGCGAAAGCGUGGGGAGCGAACAGGAUUAGAUACCCUGGUAGUCC
rnacentral:rRNA from 3 species